CUAUUCAUCAUGUUUACUGUUAUAUUCGUGUUUCUGUGGCUUUCACUAGGUGACUCCAUGGCAGAUUCAAUAGAGCCAGUUUUCCCUCAUAAUGUUGUACAUGAAGGUGAAAAUGUUACUCUGUCUUGCAAAUACAAAUUCAGCGGAGUUUCAGUAACACUGCACUGGUACAGACAAUAUCCAACAUCUAACCCUGAGUUCCUUCUUUAUAUUGAUACAAGUGGGUAUAAAAGUGACCCAAUCCCACCACGUCUGAACGCUCAUGUUGAUAAAAACAUGCAACGAGUGGAUCUGAUCAUCUCCUCUGCUGCUGUAUCAGACUCUGCUCUAUACUACUGUGCUCUGAGGCCCACAGUGACAGGAAAUCCAGCUGCACUGUAC